rnacentral:rRNA from 1 species
GAAUUUAAACCUCUUCCAGAGUAUCAAUUGGAGGGCAAGUCUGGUGCCAGCAGCCGCGGUAAUUCCAGCUCCAAUAGCGUAUAUUAAAAUUGUUGCAGUUAAAAAGCUCGUAGUUGAAUUUCUGCUGCAUUGCUUGUGUCCCUCUGGGGUCUGUGCAUGUGGCUUUUUUCGGACGGAGUUUCUUUGUCUGAAUGUUUACUUUGAGAAAAUUAGAGUGCUCAAAGCAGGCUUUCGCCUUGAAUAGUUUAGCAUGGAAUAAUAAAGUAGGACUUUGGUUCUAUUUUGUUGGUUUUAGGUACCAAAGUAAUGGUUAAUAGGAACAGUUGGGGGCAUUCGUAUUUAACUGUCAGAGGUGAAAUUCUUAGAUUUGUUAAAGACGAACUACUGCGAAAGCAUUUGCCAAGGAUGUUUUCAUUAAUCAAGAACGAAAGUUAGGGGAUCGAAGACGAUCAGAUACCGU